GAUGAACGCUGGCGGCGUGCCUAAUACAUGCAAGUCGAGCGAACAGACGAGGAGCUUGCUCCCCUGACGUUAGCGGCGGACGGGUGAGUAACACGUGGAUAACCUACCUAUAAGACUGGGAUAACUUCGGGAAACCGGAGCUAAUACCGGAUAAUAUAUUGAACCGCAUGGUUCAAUAGUGAAAGACGGUUUUGCUGUCACUUAUGGAUGGUUCCGCGGCGCAUUAGCUAGUGGGUAAGGUAACGGCUUACCAAGGCAACGAUCGGUAGCCGACCUGAGAGGGUGAUCGGCCACACUGGAACUGAGACACGGUCCAGACUCCUACGGGAGGCAGCAGUAGGGAAUCUUCCGCAAUGGGCGAAAGCCUGACGGAGCAACGCCGCGUGAGUGAUGAAGGUCUUCGGAUCGUAAAACUCUGUUAUUAGGGAAGAACAAAUGUGUAAGUAACUAUGCACGUCUUGACGGUACCUAAUCAGAAAGCCACGGCUAACUACGUG
rnacentral:rRNA from 1 species